rnacentral:rRNA from 1 species
AUACGGCGAAACUGCGAAUGGCUCAUUAAAUCAGUUAUCGUUUAUUUGAUAGCCCCUUACUACUUGGAUAACCGUGGUAAUUCUAGAGCUAAUACAUGCUGAAAACCCCGACUUCGGAAGGGAUGUAUUUAUUAGAUUAAAAACCAAUGCCCCUCGGGGCUCACUGGUGAUUCAUGAUAACUUCUCGAAUCGCACGGCCUUGCGCCGGCGAUGGCUCAUUCAAAUUUCUGCCCUAUCAACUUUCGACGGCUGGAUCUGGGCCCGCCAUGGUGACAACGGGUAACGGAGGGUUAGGGCUCGGCCCCGGAGAAGGAGCCUGAGAAACGGCUACUACAUCCAAGGAAGGCAGCAGGCGCGCAAAUUACCCAAUCCCGACUCGGGGAGGUAGUGACAAUAAAUACUGAUACAGGGCUCUUUUGGGUCUUGUAAUUGGAAUGAGUACAAUUUAAUUCCCUUAACGAGGAACAAUUGGAGGGCAAGUCUGGUGCCAGCAGCCGCGGUAAUUCCAGCUCCAAUAGCGUAUAUUAAAGUUGUUGCAGUUAAAAAGCUCGUAGUUGAACCUUGGGCCUGGCUGGCCGGUCCGCCUCACCGCGUGCACUGGUCCGGCCGGGUCUUUCCCUCUGGGGAGCCGCAUGCCCUUCACUGGGCGUGUCGGGGAACCAGGACAUUUACUUUGAAAAAAUUAGAGUGUUCAAAGCAGGCUUAUGCUCGAAUACAUUAGCAUGGAAUAAUAGAAUAGGACGCGCGGUUCUAUUUUGUUGGUUUCUAGGACCGCCGUAAUGAUUAAUAGGGACAGUCGGGGGCAUCAGUAUUCAAUAGUCAGAGGUGAAAUUCUUGGAUCUAUUGAAGACUAACUACUGCGAAAGCAUUUGCCAAGGAUGUUUUCAUUAAUCAGGAACGAAAGUUAGGGGAUCGAAGACGAUCAGAUACCGUCGUAGUCUUAACCAUAAACUAUGCCGACUAGGGAUCGGACGAUGUUAUUUUUUGACUCGUUCGGCACCUUACACGAAAGUACAAGUUUCUGGG